GUGCUCACUUCAGCAGCACAUAUACCGAAAUUGAAAUGAGACAGAGAAGAUUAGCAUGGCUCCUACACAAGGAUAACACGCAAAUUCAUGAAGCGUUCCAUAUUUUU
rnacentral:snRNA from 1 species